GACGAACCAUGCAAACGUUAUUCGGAAUUACUGGGCUUAAAGCGUGCGUAGGCGGCUCAGAAGGUUGGGUGUGAAAUCCCUCGGCUUAACCGAGGAAUUGCGCCCAAAACUACUGGGCUCGAGGGAGUUAGAGGUGAGCGGAACUCACGGUGGAGCGGUGAAAUGCGUUGAUAUCGUGAGGAACACCGGAGGCGAAAGCGGCUCACUGGGGCUUCACUGACGCUGAGGCACGAAAGCUAGGGGAGCAAACGGG
rnacentral:rRNA from 1 species